rnacentral:rRNA from 1 species
UACAUGUGGGGCAAGCGUUGUUCGGAAUUACUGGGCAUAAAGGGUGCGUAGGUGGUUUGUUAAGUCUGCUGUGAAAUCCCCGGGCUCAACCUGGGAAUGGCAGUGGAUACUGGCAAGCUGGAGUGCGGUAGAGGGUAGUGGAAUUCCCGGUGUAGCAGUGAGAUGCGUAGAGAUCGGGAGGAACACCAGUGGCGAAGGCGGCUACCUGGACCAGCACUGACACUGAGGCACGAAAGCGUGGGGAGCAAACAGG